rnacentral:rRNA from 1 species
UGGAGUGCUUGCACUCCUGAGAGUUAGCGGCGGACGGGUGAGUAACACGUAGGCAACCUGCCCUCAAGACUGGGAUAACUACCGGAAACGGUAGCUAAUACCGGAUAAUUUAUUACAUAGCAUUAUGUGAUAAUGAAAGACGGAGCAAUCUGUCACUUGGGGAUGGGCCUGCGGCGCAUUAGCUAGUUGGUGGGGUAACGGCCCACCAAGGCGACGAUGCGUAGCCGACCUGAGAGGGUGAACGGCCACACUGGGACUGAGACACGGCCCAAACAACUACGGGAGGCAGCAGUAGGGAAUCUUCCGCAAUGGGCGAAAGCCUGACGGAGCAACGCCGCGUGAGUGAUGAAGGUUUUCGGAUCGUAAAGCUCUGUUGCCAAGGAAGAACGUCUCAUAGAGUAACUGCUAUGAGAGUGACGGUACUUGAGAAGAAAGCCCCGGCUAACUACGUGCCAGCAGCCGCGGUAAUACGUAGGGGGCAAGCGUUGUCCGGAAUUAUUGGGCGUAAAGCGCGCGCAGGCGGUUCUUUAAGUCUGGUGUUUAAACCUGGGGCUCAACUUCAGGUCGCACUGGAAACUGGGGGACUUGAGUGCAGAAGAGGAGAGUGGAAUUCCACGUGUAGCGGUGAAAUGCGUAGAUAUGUGGAGGAACACCAGUGGCGAAGGCGACUCUCUGGGCUGUAACUGACGCUGAGGCGCGAAAGCGUGGGAGCAAA